ACUCCUACGGGAGGCAGCAGUGGGGAAUAUUGCACAAUGGGCGCAAGCCUGAUGCAGCCAUGCCGCGUGUAUGAAGAAGGCCUUCGGGUUGUAAAGUACUUUCAGCAGUGAGGAAGGUGGGUAUGUUAAUAGCAUAUUCUAUUUGUACGUUAGCUGCAGAAGAAGCACCGGCUAACUCCGUGCCAGCAGCCGCGGUAAUACGGAGGGUGCGAGCGUUAAUCGGAAUUACUGGGCGUAAAGCGCAUGCAGGUGGUUUGUUAAGUCAGAUGUGAAAGCCCGGGGCUCAACCUCGGAAUUGCAUUUGAAACUGGCAAACUAGAGUACUGUAGAGGGGGUAGAAUUUCAGGUGUAGCGGUGAAAUGCGUAGAGAUCUGAAGGAAUACCGGUGGCGAAGGCGGCCCCUGGACAGAUACUGACACUCAGAUGCGAAAGCGUGGGAGCAAACAGGAUUAGAUACCCCUGGUAGCGACUGA
rnacentral:rRNA from 1 species